rnacentral:lncRNA from 1 species
AGCACUUGGCAGAAGGUGGUAGAACCAGGUAAGAAGGAAGGAUCUGCUGCACUACUGAUUCCUUGGCAUCGCUGGAAAUCUCCUUAGAAGCCACCAACUAAUGGUGAAGAAACAUUUGAAGACAUUACUAGCUGAAACUAGCAUAUACAUAAUUUGUUCAUUUUCCUAAUUCAAAGUUUGCAGAGAACCAUGAAAUUUCUGUAACAGAAAUCUGUGCUGAAGGCUGUAAUACUACUCAAGAAGGUGGAUGCUUCAAAGAAGUGCAUUCUUGAUUUGCCAACUCCUGGGAGUAGUUACACAGUCUCAUAGUUAGUCAGGAGAGUUUAUUGUGCUCAGGAAGUUAAUUUCUGACCUCCUGGAGAAUUAACCAUGUGAAGGGUGAAUAUAAAUGAUCACAGAAUGCUAAACCUGGGAUGACCUGGAGGUCAUCUAGUACAACCUCAGAGUCCCCAAGAACAGCUAGUCAGGAUUGUGCCUGGGCAGCUUCCUUAGAUGUCCAAUGGGAGAGACUCCACAACAUCUCCUGGGCAACCUGUUCCAGUGCUCGAUCACCCACACCGUGUUCAGGUGGAACUUCCUGUGUAUCAAUUUUUCCUGCUGCCUCUUGGCUUGGCACCAGUGAGCAGAGCCUGGUCCAUCCUCUUGGCAACCUCCCUUUAGAUGCUCAUAGGUAUUGUUAAGGUCCUCUCUUGAUUAUCUCUUCUCGAGGCUGAGCAGGCCCAGAUCACUCAGCCUUUCCUUUCAGGAGAGAUGCUUCAAUCCCUUCCUCAUCCUCAUCGUCUUCCACUGGGCCCACUUUGGAUACCUCCACGUCUGUCUCGUACUGAGAAGCCCAGAACUGGACACAGCACUCCAGGUGAGGCCCCAUGUGGCUCAGGAGAGGGGCAGGAUCAGCUCUCUUGACCUCCUGGCACUCCUCUUCCUAAAGCACCCCAGAAAGGGUGAUAACUGGCAGGUUGUUGAGGACAGGGCAGAAGUAUUUAAGUGACACUGAUGAUUUUUUGGAUGGACAAAUUUUUGCUGGCAGCCCCUUUGAAUUUGGAGUUGUUGCUGUUUGAAGAACAAAUCUAUAUCCAUUAUGUUAUAUGGCUAGAAGAGAAUUUCUUUACUAAAAGUCGUUCAGAAAGGUCUUCAGAAAAUGAGUUAUUGACCCAAAGUAGUAGAAUUUGUAGAUCAAAAAGAUAAAUGGCACUAAUUUCUAAUAAUUGCUAAAGUUGUAUGGAGGUGUUUGAAGUUCACAGCAGCUUCUACAAGAAUUCUUUUACUGCAUCUUGGGCUACAGGCAGUAAUAAUAACAUUAAAUCCCAAUUAUCAGAUAAAUAUGCAGCUUGAAAAUAUAAUUACCAGAUGACUCCUGAUAAAAUCAAAGGCAAGUAUGGAGAACCUGGAAAAAAUUACAGAAAACUUAUGGUUAUGCAAAGACUUCUGCUUAUUAUUCAACGUAACUAUGGUUAUGUUGAAUGACUUCUUCCAGGGACAGUAUCUGCUGCUUAACAAUUACAGAACAUUAAUGUGCUAGGCUUUUGGAAAUACUAGCCAUGAAUUUUAACUGGAUGGUCACCCUCCUGCAGAUCUCCAAGAGGAUAUGCUGGAAAAAUUUUCUCAUAGCAUGUUCAUACAGAGAAGAUGGAAGAUCAGUAUAGCAGAAUCCCUUCUGGAGUUCAAAAAAGGGUCAGCCAGGACUGACAUGUACACUGUCACUCCUUUUAUGUUUUGUUUCUACAUUUGUGUUAUUUUCUAAGUGCAUAUGAGGGUUCUGAUGCUCAGAAUGGUGAGAGAUCCCAGGUGAUAUUCAGCCACAAAUGAUUUUACUCCACCAGGAGGAUUCAAAGGACAUUCUCUUGAGCCUGGUUCUUGAGUCAGUCUUCUACUUCAUCAGCUACCUUCUCCACCAUUAGUGCUAAUGUGAUGUUCCUUUUGUGUGUGCACAAAAGACAUAUCCCUGAUUCCAUGGGAAUUUGGGCAGGAACAAGGAGAAUGCAGAAGAAAGGAACUUGGAAGCGAAGGAAUCCAGCAGUAGAUCAAAUAGUAGCAAAUAGUUUGUUGUCCAGUUAUAGCUGUAGGCGAAGAACUGCAAAGAAUAUGUGAACUGAAGAUGGCAACAGGAGAAAAGCUCUCUAACAGGUUAAAGUGAGAAGGUGAUGUAGAACAAGUUGCAUCAGCUUUGUUGGUCAGUUGUAAAUAGUUCUGCGUGGUUGCUGUCUUGGACAAAAAGACAUUGUGAAAUUAUUCCUUUCCCAUCCUGCCCCAUUGUGUCUGGAAUGGGAAGCUUUUUAUUUUGAUCUGCUCAUGAGAAGGCAAUCAACAACCCUAGGUGUUCAUGCGUGAAGGAUUGAGGUGCAGGAAACAAAGCCAUGCAGAUUUUCCCCAUGCAUUCAUGGAGCCCUUUUUGACUAUGUGGUCGGCAGUUUAUGGCAAUUAGCUUUAGUCACUGCUGCAAGAGAGCGAAAAUCUAAGAGCCAGUAAGCUGAGUGUAGGGGUAUGAAGUCAACUGUCAGUGAUUUCAUAUCCCUUCUCUUAGUAGAAGGUGUAUGCACAGAACUUAGGCAGGUUUUCCCAGAAUGGCACUGCACCGAUAGGUGUUAAUGGUGUUCGUAUUUAGAUCUGUAUUUGAUAAUGCACACAGAGAAUUCCCCAAGCAAUUUGCAGAGUUUAGGUCAGGAUACUUCCUUUGCUUGAUUUGUCUUUUAUGUCCAUUUAGGCUGACUGCCUUAGCCUGAGACUGUUUAGAUCCAGGUAGAGAGGCCACCUAUCCCCAGGAAUAACUGAUAUUAUCUCUGUCCUCUGAGGACACAGAAAAUAGGAUUGGUUCUCGUUUGCCUCAAAAAGACGGGUCAGUAGUAACACCAGGGCAAGUUUUGCUAAGAAUUAACUUGAUGAAGUGAAUCUUCAGGCAUUCUUCAUCUUCAGGCAUUUUCUUGUUCUCCCUAGCUCAUGGAUUUUUGGGGUGUGGUUUUGAUAGACAGGUAUCAAAUGCUGUGCAGAGAUGCGAAACAGUCUUCCUGGGUCUCCUCUGUUAGCAGGUGAUUCCUGGAAGCUAAAAUCUGAUUAUGUAGGAGAUUCUGUUGUACUCUGAGAAGGUCUGGAGGCAGAGAUUGAACAGUGCUCCAUGAAAAAAUGCUGGAAAUGCUCAGUUAAAAGAGAAGCCUAGGUUUUAUUAAGAUACGUAUUGAGGAAUGGAGAUACAAGUUCUUCUCUCAACCAAGGUGAUAGUCUUGUGAGAUUAUUUUGUCUUAGAUUGUAUGCUCUAAAUACUUCAGCUUUUCCCUUUUUGUUUUCCCAAAUAAUUCUGAUUAAAUCAAUCAGAAUUCCAAAUCUAGCAAAAGGACAGUAUUUUUCCCUUGCAGUUCCUCUGCUGUUGCUCCCAAAGCCUUGUAGCUGUAAACACUGAUACUGCUGUUGUGCCAGAUUUGCACACUGAUCUGCAAGUCACUCCUUUGUACCCCUUUUUCUACACUUUGAUUGUAACUUCUGUUUUGCAGUAAGUGAUCAAUUAAUUUGCAUGCACAGAGUUUACUAACAAUCAGCCAUGUGGCAGCUGCUCCUCAUAAAAAGUGCUCCAAACUUUCCCUCCCUCUCUCCCUCCCUCCCUCUUUCCCCCUAAAAGUAACUUCCACUUUUAGACUCAAUAUAUACCAUUAGUGAUGGACCCUCUAAUAAAUGCUGGAUGCUGAAUGUGAGCCUGUUUCCAGCAUCCUUUCUGCAGCAACCUGGAGUUGAUAUGUGUUAACCCCUGCUAUAGAAAUAACCUUUUACAUAUAUCCUUUGAACACAUCCAGAGGCUAAAGCUCUCUGAGGGAUAUUUUAGCAUGUCACACUUCUAUUAUACAAUUCUUCUUAUGUGAUAAGCUUAAAAACCCUCCAGUUAAAAAUGGAGUUUGUAGCUGUAGUUUCUCACAUGCUGAAUGCUCACAUUCAAGAUGCGAGUUUCAGAGUUAGGGGGUUAUAAAUAUAUGAGAAUAGUCUAUGAAAUAUAUUUUUUAAAAUUAAGUGUCAAUAUCAUGUUAUUAUUAUUAUUAAACUGGAAAGUAUAUUCAAUACAGAUAGGUACUAUCCUGUCAGCUAAAUAUUUGACAAUCAAAAAAUUAGCUAAGAUUUCUUCAAGUGGCAACCUAAACAGAAUUUACAAGUUCUACGGUGGCAGGAUACUUAUAACUGAGGCUGCUUUUCACAUUAAUCAAUACUGUAUUUCACAGCAGACCAUUUCUCUUCUUUCUCAGUUUCAGAAAAAUAGUAUUUUUUUCAACAGCUCUGUGAAUUAAUUAAUGCCAUUUAUUCUUCUGAUUCUAACCAAAGGUUGUCAGGUUCCUUUAGCCUGUGUAUUGAUCUGUAAUAUAACCUUCCAUUUCCUGCAUCUGCUAUUAAAUGGAAUAGAAUUCAUAAUGGUUGCACUCCUGAACAGCUGUUCACCUAUCCAGUAUUGUCAGGUCACCAGGGAAAGUUGCUAAUACUUGAGGAGAACUUCACUGGUAUAUUGAUGUCUUCUGUUGUUCAAUUAACAUUUCUAAUGUGGAAGAAAAGAAGAUAGUAUUUAAUAUGUCAGGCACCCUUAAGACAACUCUGUUUCCAUUUUCUAAUGCCAAAACCUAAUACAAUGUUUAUGUCCAUUAGAGUUAAAAUACUUUCCUUAUUAGCUGCCUAAGUGCAUUUUUUCAACAAUAAUAGUGAAGGGCACUCAGUAAACUAAGACUAAUUAAUCUCCUCAGUCUCCCUUUUGUAUUUAUCUGAUGCCAAAAGCAAUAAACUUU